rnacentral:rRNA from 1 species
AUUGAACGCUGGCGGUAGGCCUAACACAUGCAAGUCGAACGGCAGCACAGUGAUAGCUUGCGCUUACGGCGGGGGACGGGCGGGCGAUGGAGGAGAACAUGGGUGUCUACUUGUUCGUGGGUGAGAACGUAGGGGAUCUUACCCUAUUCCCGCAGAGGGCCUACGGGUGGAAUCAUCGGAUCUUCCGCCCUUGCGCGAUUCAAUGUGCCGAUGUCGGAUUAGCUAGUUGGCGGGGUAAAGGCCCACCAAGGCGACGAUCCGUAGCUGGUCUGAGAGGAUGAUCAGCCACACUGGAACUGAGACACGGUCCAGACUCCUACGGGAGGCAGCAGUGGGGAAUAUUGGACAAUGGGCGAAAGCCUGAUCCAGCCAUACCGCGUGGGUGAAGAAGGCCUUCGGGUUGUAAAGCCCUUUUGUUGGGAAAGAAAAGCAGCAGGUUAAUACCCCGCUGUUCUGACGGUACCAAAAGAAUAAGCACCGGCUAACUUCGUG